GUCUGGCUCACCUGGCUGUGUCCUUCCAGGCUCCUGUGGGGGCUUUCUCAUUUGCAAAGCUAUCAGAUGCUCAAAGCAGGUCCUCUGGAGCCCCAGUGGAGACCACAGUGCCAGGCAGAGCUUUUCCCCACCUGAGCAGGCAUCUCUGACUCCACAAACAAACCAAGGAGGUUCUGCAAGCUGGUGGUGAGAUUGGAACCCACCUUGCUUUUUCUGCCCUCCAUGUGGUUGAAGAGGGGGAGAGAGAGAGAAGAGAGGAAAGAAGAGAGAAGAGAGGAGG
rnacentral:lncRNA from 1 species